UCCUCGACUGUCUUUGAGUGAAGACAUUGGACAUUGGUCUCCUCAUAUCUUUCGAUCAGGACUCCAACUGGAAUUACACUAUUGGCUUUCCUGGCUCUCCAGCUUGCCUGCCAACCUGGUGUUGCUGACUGGGCUGGGUUCUGGGCCUCCUUCAUCAAUAGAAAUCAAUAAGAGGGAGUUCCCGUCGUNGCAAGAGUAGAGUCAGAGGAGUGGCUUGGGUGGGCUGCCCAUUUUUUUGGUGGUGUUGUAUGCAAGGGGCAUACAUAGUACUUUGCUUUUGCUCUUGCUUUUCAGAAGUGGUAGUUGGGUUUUUAGUUAUGUAUCUUCUUGCCCAUAAUUUGCCCAACUGUACAAGUAUGCAAUUACUUUUAGUCCCUUAGAGUUUCUUCAUAUUUUGUUGCUUGAGGAGAUGUUUGUCCAGAUACAGACACUGCAGCCAAGGGUCCCUGGUCCCAGGUCCCAGCCUGUCUCACUAGGACUUCUCAGUUUCCAUAACUGUGAGAUGAUUCCUUAUAGUAAAUUUCUGUAUGUACGUUUAUAUGUAUAUAAUAUACAUAUAUGCUAUCUUUAUACAAACAUACAUCAUCAAGAUAUCCAUAUAUGUAUGUAUGUUUAUAUAUACAUAUAACUGUGUGUAUAUAUAUAUAUACAUGUGUGUGUGUGUGUACAAUUUUUUCUGUUUCUCUGGAGAAUGCUAAUACAUGGAGCAUAAACAUAGGACCAGCCCUUCUGGAGAGGUCUGGAGAGCCUAUUAAUGUAUCAUACAUUCCACAAGCUGAAAAUCAAUAUCUAAAUGAAAGUCCUCUGAGGCCACAAGAAUUUUUCACAGUGUGCAUUCACCAUUUAUUGGUAUAAAUACUGAAUAAAAUAAAACCUUGAAUGAUAUUAACGUAAAGCCCUCAAACCAAAAAAAGAGUAACCUUCAUAUUUGCAUGUUAAACCCAGUCUCGUCCUUAGGAAUAAGCCAUAAAGUUAGGACAAUUUUCAUUCAGAAAUGUGUUUUAGAGAGGGGCAGAUUUGCCCUUAUCAGAGUGCAGUAAAAAUUUGAAUUCCAGGAUCACAGUUUUAGGCUCUAUAAUACCCUGGCUGAUGGUUUCUGUUUCUAGUAUUCUCAUUCCCACCCACCCACCCAUCCCACACACACUGUGAAGGAAAAUUCCCUUCUCAAAUAAUUUUGAAUACCUUAAUGAGUGACUUUAUCUUGUAACAGGCUCUAGAAAAGAAGAGGCUUAACAAAAUACAUCCUGAAGUAGUCCACCCAAAAGUAUAAGCAUGCAUCGUGAGGCAUAUGUAUAUUUAGCUCAAAAUGUGUAAAAUAAAUGAGGAAGCCUUUAUAUUCCUUUAAUCUGUUCUAAAGGUACAUAUAUAAAAGUGCAUGUAACUUUAAAUUAGACAUAUAUUUUAUAUUUUUCCAAAAACCCUGAGUAAUACUUUCUUUUAUAAUAUUGAAAUCAAGUUAUUAAGUUUAAUGUUAUUAAGAAUUGUAAGCAAUUCCUCUAUUUGCACUAGCCACAACUGCCUUUCAGUGACUGACAGUCAAGUGCAAGGGACCAUAUGUGUUAAGAUGUAGGGCCUCUGAAGGACCCUCAUAGGCUUUAAGUCUUUCUGUUAACAUUCAUGGACCUGCAUAAUAGCUCCUUCUAAAGUCCCUUCUUGGUGGCCAAGGUGACUAUUUUUAUUGGUAAAUUCAGAAAUAGUAAGAAAAUAGAAGAUUUGAAAAUCCUCAAAGAGAAACUAGAGUGAAUAGUCUGCCCAAUUCAACCACUGUUUGCAAAUAUUUAUUUUUUCAUCUCUAAACCUCAGAGUGUGUUUGAUUUGAAGCACUAAAACAGCAAUUGCUCUGACCCACAGAAAAUUUUUAUGCUGAAUAAACCACCUCAUAAACUGGAGCUUAAACACUGAGGGUGGAUGUCUUCAGACAGCAUUCCCCUUGUGAAGCAUCUGGAAUUCUGGUUUUCAAUUGACUUAACUGUCAUGACACGCAGAAAACUUCCUAGGACCUUCAGGAAUGUAGGACUUGCAUUUUAAGGUUCAGGUCCUUAUGAAACAAAGAGCACCACAAGUGUUUCCCUAGGAGGAAAUAUGAAGUGUUUGCUUUUUUCUGAUUUAAUUUUAAAGGGGGACAUAGAGAUGGCUGGAUAUACUAAGUUUUUUCAGAUUCUAAGGGCAAGGUAACAAGUUGGACUAUUCUUUUUUUGUUAUGCAAUGAAUUUUAUUACAUUUAUAGUUGUACAACAAUAAUCACAACCAAAUUUUACAGCAUUUCCAUCCCAAACCCUCAGUACAUUCCCCCACCCCCCAUGUUUCUCCCACCCCCCAACCUGUCUCAUUUGGAAACCCUAAGUUUUUCAAGUCUGUGAAUCAAUAUCUGUUCUAAAAGAAGUUCAUUGUGUUCUUUUUUUUAGAUUCCAGAUGUAAGUGGUAGCAUUUGAUGUUGAUGUCUCACCAUCUGACUGACUUCACUUAGCAUGAUAAUUUCUAGGUCCAUCCAUGUUGCUAAAAAUGCCAUCAUUUUUUUCCUUUUAAUGGCUGAGUAAUAUUCCAUUGUGUAUAUGUACCACAUCUUCUUGAUCUACUCCUCUGUCAAUGGACAUUUAGGUUGUUUCCAUGUCUUGGCUAUUGCAAAUAGUCUGCAAUGAACAUUGGAGUACAUGUAUCUUUUUGAGUCAUGGUAUUCUCUGGGUACAUGCCCAGGAGUGGGAUUGCUGGAUCAAAUGGUAAUUCUAUUUUUAGUUUUCUGAGGAAUCUCCAUACUGUUUUCCACAGUGGUUGCACCAAAUUACAUUCCUACCAACAAUUUGAUAGGGUUUCCUUUUCUCCACACCCUCUCCAGCAUUUAUUGUUCGUAGACUUUUUGAUGAUGGCCUUUCUGGCUGGUGUAUGGUGGUACCUCAUAGUGGUUUUGAAUUGGAUUUCUCUAAUAAUGAGUGAUGUUUCAUGUGUUUUUUAGCCAUCUGUAUGUCUUUUUUAGAGAAUUGUCUUAGAUCUUCUGCCCAAUUUUUGAUGGGAUUGUUUGUUUUUUUGGUAUUGAGUUGCAGAGGGUGUUUAUAAAUUUCUAUUUUUUCUACUUCAACUUAUUUCCUACAACUAUAGUUUUCUCUUUUUUUGAGAAAACCACUUUGACUCUGGUCAUCACAUCCUCCUCUGUAAAUGAAAGUAUAAGAAAAUAUUUCCAUUUAUACACUAGAACCAACUGAAUCUACACACUAGCUUGAAUUUACUUUAAAAAUGCAGCUUUGGAAUUCCCCUGUGGCUCAGCGGGUUAUGGAUCUGGCAUUGUCAUUGUAGCAGCUCAGGUCACUACUGUGACACAGGUUUGAUCCCUGAACCACGAACUUCCAUAUGCCAUGGGCAGGGCUAAAAAAUGCAGCUGUUAUAUUUUUCACAUUCCCAGGACACAGCUGAACUGAAGAGCUGGGGUGACUUCUGAACAUAUCUGCUCUCAACUUUGAACUUUAUGAUUGGAUCUUCUACCAUCUCUGCAACAUUUUCUGAACUCUGUUGGUGUUCAUCUUUGUGAGGACAGGUAUCUUUCACACAGGUGGACUGAAAAUGGAUCAGGUGACUAAGUGAUUAAAACAUCACCAACUCUGUCAGCCAUCUACCAGCCAGCUAGAAAGUUAGCAGUGACAUGUUUGGAAGAUCAGGUUUAGGGAAUCCAACAGCUCUGACUAGAUGUAACAGAAUCAACAGAAUCUGAGGAAGAUAGUCAACUCUUUUUGUAGAACCAGGUUGUGGUUGGAAUGAUGUUCUUCCUGCUGAUCCCAUGGCUGCUGUCUUCUCAUCCUUGUCCUCAUCUGAACUGUCACCUCUCCUGUAACACCUCCCUUAACCAGCCCCACUGAGUAUGUUUUACCCUAAUUCUGUUAUUCUUAAUCAUAGUACCUUCUUUGUUUGUUUAUCAGUAUCACAGUUGGCAAUACUAAAUGAAUCUUUACUUACACAUUGAUCAUCUGUUUCACAAACUACACCUGUGAACACUUUUAAGAGAGAAACACUCAGUAAAAUAGAUAUUCUGAUGGCAGUACCUGGCUCAUAUAGAUGUACAGUGAAUAUUUGAUAAAUGAUUAUAAAAACAAAUAAUGAAUGUGCACAUGUUCUUCAAAAAAAACUUGAAAGGAUAUACAACAAUAUCUAGUUGUUGUGGAAUUUUCAUUGACUUUCAUUUUUAUUUUUAUCCAUUUCUUUUUUUCAGAUUUUCUAUAUAGCGAUAUAUUUAUCAUAACAAUAUUUUCAAAGACUUUAGAAAGUAAUAGAAAAAAAUAGAAAUACUUCCUUAAAAUACAACUUAUCUCCUCAAAGAGAAGCAGAAUUUAAAUAAUUGUGAUAUCUUGAAAGCAUUUUUUAUAUAUACUUUUUUUUGUCUUUUUAGGGCCACACCAACAGCAUAUGCAGGUUCCCAGGCUAGGGGUCAAAUCAGAGCUAUAGCCUCUGGCCUACACCACAGCCACAGCAAUGCCAGAUCCAAGUCAUGUCUGUGACCUACACCACAGCUCACAGCAACACAAGAUCCUUGAUCCACUGUGUGAGGCCAGGGAUUGAACCUGUGUCCUCAAGGAUACUAGUCAGAUUCAUUUCCGCUGAGCCAUGACAGGAACUCUGACAGCAUUUUUUUGUAUUGCAGUGAGCAUAAAGUAUAUAUUUGCUAACUAGAUGAUUAACUCUAUUAUUAAGCUGAAACAAAUAUAAUUCUAGAGUGAACUUUUUCUGUACAUUUUAUGUACUGCCUUUUCUGACUCCUAGAAACGAAAGAAUUGUUUCCCAAUGUUCCAUACCAUAGAAAAGGAUAAUUGUCUUGAGAUAAAAUGACAUAUUUUAGCAGAAACAAAGAUGGACCUGGCUUCAUUUUUUCAGCUUCUUAUUUUUGGCAGGAGGACAGUUUGGGAAUGUGUUAGAAAUGAAGUGAUUAAAAGUAAGACUCAUUAUAUUAAUGUUUGAUAUUUUGGAAAAAUUAUAGAAAAUUAAGUUGCAUUACAAGCAGUAAAAACCAACUGACACUAAAAACCAGACGUAAAUGGGUUUGAUUUUGUUUUCAACAUUUUAGGAUAUAGUGAUUAGAAAGGGCUCAGAAAGAUGAAUAAAUAAAGUUUAUCAAAGGACUAAAAAUAGGUACAUGGACUGAAAAACAAAAACAAAAUUCUGAUUGUUUGAGGAACAGAAAUCUAUCAGUUAUUUAUUAAUAGUUUCAUGAUCAAGAUUUAGAAGAAGAAGGAUUAUUGUGAGGAAAACAUUGGCUGAUCUUUUUACUUUACCGAAACAGAUAUCAAGUAACAAGUGAGUAUGAGUUGCAAAGAAUUCAGUCAGAUAUAAGGAAAACAUCUUUUUCCUUUUAUUUACCAUUCUUGACACUUAUUUUUCAAGGUUUUUUCAGGAAGAAUUUCCUGAUAUAGGAUGAGUCAACACCAAAAGGAGAUGCAUGCAAAGUCACAGUGCUAUAGUCCUUGGAAACCAUUGACAAUCUGAAAGUUGAUUACUAAAGCACAAAAGCUAAUACUCUGCUGACCUUGUGUCAAAAAAAUCAACACAGUGGAUAACAUCCAUCUAUGAUAUUCUAUUACAGCCCGCCAACAUGAGCUCAGGCUAAGGCUUAGAAGAAUCGAGGACAAAUUGUCACUAACUUCCCAUCCAACAACUUUCUUCCACCCACUGUCCAUAUACUCUGCUCCAGGACCACAUGCCACUUUCCUUUAAAUCAUUUGCCUGCCUCUCCUAGUGAAGGUCUGAUUAUUUCAAUGCUCAUAUACAUGAAAGACCAAGGAAAUGUGGUUUUAAUAUUGAUCUGGCAAACAACGGUCCAAGAAAAGUAGACAGGGUCAUUUUGAAAAUUAAUCACAGAUUCUUGGGUGAUAAAUAGUACAGUGCCACACUUGCUUUAGUUGAGCCAGAUAGAGCAAAAAUGUUGGUGUUUUAAAUCUAUAGUGAUACAGAGCCCAAAGAUAAAUGCAAGAAAUAUUACCUGUUGGUGGUCCUUGCUUUACUUACUGUUGCUGUCAGGGCAAAUACUGAUGGUUUAUUUUUGGCUUGAGUUUCAUUCACUGAACAAACGGUCAUAAAUUUAAUGUUAAGAAAAUACACACUGCACAGAGAAAAUAAUUUUCAAGUCAAUGAGACCAAUGAGUAUGUUGUAAUUCUGAUAUAUUUGAAUUAUCCAUAUUGCUGUUCUUUCAGUUAUGGACUAAUUAUAUACUAUAUAUUCUAUUUCAAAUCAAAUCACACUUUAAGUCAAGCUGGAAAUGUUUAAACAUUUUGGGACAGGUGUUUGCCCAUAAGACUUGCAUCAAGAUAUUUUAGGCUCUGAAAACCAAAGGAACAAAGUCUAUCAGUGAAGUGUCCAUGUAGUUGAUACACUUUAUGACAAAGAUAGUGUUUUCUCAUGAGGUCAUUAUGGUUUUGAUUGUUAAGUUUCCUUACACUCUAAAUCAGCUCUUAAGGGAUGCUGCCUAUUUCCAAAGUAAGUAUAUGACUGCUAUUUCAUGGAGGUCUGUCUUACCUAUAAAAUAACCCAAUGAUGAUUCUUAGGUCUUUCAUGAUGAAAACAGUGCUGAGAACAUUUAUUUACAACGAAUCUCCAAGAGAGGAGAGAAAAGAGAAGACAAAGAAAGUCGUCAAAGUUCUGUCAACCAACUCUGAUAUGAUGAGUUCUACCCAGCAUCAGUUGAGAGAAACUCAUAUUAAAGACUAUUAUCCACNAAAAAAAAAAAAAAAAAAAAAAAAA
rnacentral:lncRNA from 1 species